rnacentral:misc_RNA from 1 species
UUUUUUUUUUUUUUUUUUUGGUAGGGGGGAGUGGGGCGUUCAAGCAUCUCCAUUGGUAGUUGCUCACUCAUUUUUAGGUCUUCGGAUGUCUUAUACAUGUGCAAUUCAUUUCCUAUAAAAGGCGUAAAACUAUCACUUGUUGGAGUUGUUACGAAGCAAAAAUUAUCAUGUUUCAACUAGGUCUAGUGGAAAGGAGAACAUGUCUAAGUAAGAGUGUGAUCAAUCCAGAAUGAAAGAGUGUUUUGUAACUUUCUUGGGUAUUAACAUUACAUUCCAUAUAAUAAAGCAGUUUAAUCAGCAACUUACUAUCAAGUCAGUUAGCCUGGAAAUACUGGCCAAUUAGGUAAUCUCUUCACAAACUCUAUCUAUAGGGUCUUAGUUACUGUUUUGAGAGGGAAAUGAAAGAAAAUUUUCAUCUUUAGUUCUUUUGUGUUGUUAUGUUUGCGUGCUUUUGUUUGUGGCAAGACACAAAAUCACACGGAUGUUUUUGUGUGGUUUUCUUUGUCAUUGUUUAUCUGUAGGAGAGGAAAGUUAUAAUUUGAGAUACUAUAUGUGCAUGUCUUUAUGUGUGUGUUUCUUUUUUGUCAUUGUUAUGUUUGCUGAAGUACAAUAUGAUUUUUUUUGGAUGAGAAUUUUAUUUUAUUAUUCAAAAUUUUUUUAAAGCUGAAUGCUUAAAAAAAAA